GAUCAUGGCAGCUGAUAUUGUAGGAGAUGAGCUAGAAAGCUAUAUGUUUGAUCGAUCCAGUCUCAUUCGCUCGUUUCUAAGAAUGAGCCACCAUGCGUAAGUAUAAAUAAUUUUCUUCGAAAAUGCGAAGGGCUCAUCAUAUCAUCAAUAGUUUAUUAGAAAUAAUGUUGUACUUGGAUAACGUAGUAGUUAUAGGGGUAAUACAGAGUAAAUCCUCCUCUUCGAAGAGGUGGGUUUAUUAGUAUGAAAACCCAUUUCGGCAUGAUAGUGAGUAAUAAUAACCUUUCACAUCGUACGUGGAAAUANCGAUAGUUCUCUCAAGAGUCUGCCCCAUCUCCCUCGAUGGUAGAGUAUUGGGGUACCACAGCCAGUCGCGUAACGAAGAAAAUGGGUUUGAUUUCGGAGAGGGAGCGCGAGAGAUGGGUACCCCACCCACGGAAGGCAGCGCGGGCGUAAAUUACCCACUCUCGACACACGGAGGGGGAGUCACUAAAUCACACUGCGGGACUAUUUAGUUUUGCAAUUGGAUUGAGAACAAUGCACAAGAGUUAUCGAUAAACAAUUGGAGGGCAAGUCUGGUGCCAGCAGCCGCGGUUCCAG
rnacentral:rRNA from 1 species